rnacentral:rRNA from 1 species
AACGAACGCUGGCGGCAGGCCUAACACAUGCAAGUCGAGCGAGACCUUCGGGUCUAGCGGCGGACGGGUUAGUAACGCGUGGGAACGUGCCCUUCUCUGCGGAAUAGCCAUUGGAAACGAUGAGUAAUACCGCAUACGCCCUUCGGGGAAAGAUUUAUCGGAGAAGGAUCGGCCCGCGUUAGAUUAGAUAGUUGGUGGGGUAAUGGCCUACCAAGCCUACGAUCUAUAGCUGGUUUGAGAGGAUGAUCAGCCACACUGGGACUGAGACACGGCCCAGACUCCUACGGGAGGCAGCAGUGAGGAAUCUUGGACAAUGGGGAAACCCUGAUCCAGCCAUGCCGCGUGAACGAUGAAGGCCUUAGGGUUGUAAAGUUCUUUCGCCUGGGAAGAUAAUGACGGUACCAGGUAAAGAAGCCCCGGCUAACUCCCGUGCCCAGCCG